UCUCACUCGCUCUUGUUUCAUUCCCAAAAAACUUAGGGUUUUUUCUUUUUUACCGAUUUUUAUACAAUAUCCUCCAUCGACCUUCAUUCUGUAUAGUUUCGUAGAUCUGCUGUCGUUCUAGCUGAAAAUCUUACUAGAGUUGCAUUAUUACAUCUCAUCCAACCCCCUCUCUCUUGCUCGUAGCUUUAUACCCGAAAAAGUAUGUUUUUGCCUAUUUUGUGUACGAUAUUCCUCGAUUAGCUUUAAAUCCAUAUAGCUUUUUCUGCCUUCGUCAAAGUUGCCGCUUCUGAACUCGAUUGAGGGGUGGUGGCAAGGGUUUUCGUUGAAUCAUUUUGGGAAUAUCGCUAACUUGAUAACGACACACGAAUUCAAAAAAGUAUUUCAUCGCAGUUUGAAAAGGAAAGCGCUUUCAGAAUGUUGAAAAGGGGAAAAAGAAAAUUAGAUGGAAUUGCGCACUUGAUAGCGGAGUGGGCUAGUGGCCUGUAUAAUAUGAUGACUGUAGUUGGCCUUGUAAGGAGAUUGAGCUAGUGCAAGUUCACGCCAAACAAUGAGUUAAGUCACAACAGGGUGUAUCAACUUGUGUUGUUGAUAAGGGAUUGGGCUAGUGGACUGGAUAAUAUUUGAUGGACUGAAGUUGGGCUAGUGCAACUUCAGUAUACUUCUAUAUUAGUGUUUUUUAAAAUUUCGUUAUGUUAUAUGAUUAAGUGCAGGUACCUAAACGUAAUUGGCUGGUAUUAGCUCCCUAGCGUCGGGAUAAGCCUCGCAAGCUUGAUUGCAGUAUCUAAUGGAACAAUAUUUUAUCUUUAUUUUCGAUCCGCUGUGGAUAUUCAACUCUGUAAUACAUUAUGAUAUUACAUUCAGGGGUUGAAAUUUAUAUAUUUAUCUUAUGCUUCCGCUGUGCAUUAUAUAAUUGUGUGGUUUGACUAUAUUGUUGCCAACAUCGUCACGGUAAUCCCCCACCGGGCCCACCGGUGAGACACGUGGAAAUCGGGGUGUGACAGGUUGGUAUCAGAGCCAACAUUGAGUGAAUUAAACACUAUCCUAUUGUGUUUAAUC
rnacentral:lncRNA from 1 species